rnacentral:lncRNA from 1 species
AACCAGUGCAGGAUGUUAUAAAAUCAUACAUGGAUAAAAGAUCCAUCCAAAGUAUUAGAUCCAUCAAUGAAUUUUAAGGUACUGGGGAAACAAAGCAAAACAGACAAAUUGCGGUGCUCAGGUUCUGCCAAGGGCAGCAGACAGUGAACCACAUGAAGAAGCCUCCAACUAAUGGACUACCAUAGAUCCAAUGCCUCAGAUGCAGAUAACACUCUGGGAAGGCAGACACCACCUCUCUCCUGCACUCUGCCAUUCUCCAGGAUUGGGAAGGAUUCUGGGCACACAGUAGGCAUUUAUUAAAUAUUCAUUGGAUGAAUAAAUGAUAAAUGAAUAUUCAUUAUCAUUCUCUCCACAUAUUAAAUCAAAUGCUUCAAAACACUUUAGAAUGGAAAUUAAUUGCCUCCCUUAGUCAUUAUUUUUAUCUAUAGCUAUCAUCAAACCUUCACCCACUCAGAGUUAAUAAUUGAAAAACAGACACAUAACAAGUUAGCAGAGAGGAGAGCUCAAAUGAAGCCCCAUCUGAAAACCUCACCUACAGGCCACACUCCCCAGACACAACUUCUUGUAACUGGAGGUGGGGUGGGAGUCUCUAUAUUCUAUUUUUCUUUCUUUUUUUGUCUUUUAUUUAUGUUUUUUGACAUAAUAGUUUGAUUGAGAUGUACUUGUUAUGCAACACAAUUCACCCAUUUGAAGUGUAUAAAUCAAUGGUUUUUAAGUAUAUUCUCGGAGUUGUUAAACCAUCACUACUACCUAGUUUUAGAACAUUUUCAUCACCCCAGAAAGAAAUCCUGUACCCAAUGGCAGCCACUCCCUCCCUAUCCCCCUCAGCCACCUUACUGUAAGCCAACACUCAUCUACUUUCUGGCUCUAUGGGUUUCCCUAUUCUGGACAUUUCGUAUAAAUGGAUUACAAAAUGUAUUGUCCCUAGUGUCGGACUUCUUUCCUUCCCUUAGCAUAAUGUACUCAAGAUUCAUCCAUGUAGUAAUAUGUGCCAGGACUUCAUUCCUUUUUAUUGCCGGAUAAUAUUCUGUUGUAUAGAUGGACCACAUUUUAUUGAUCCGUUUAUCAGUUGAUGGACAUUUGAGCUGUUCCCAUUUUUUGGCUAUUAGGAGU